AUCAUAACACACUUUACAAUUUUUAUUUCUUUUAUAGUUAAGUAUAAUAGUAGUAAUUAGUGUAUAUCGAGUACUUAGACGGUAGUUAGGUAACUCCGCCUGUGUUUGAGGGUGAAUAGAAUAAAUUUUAUAAGAUUAUUUUAUUCUACCUCAUCGCAGCCAGUCCCAAGCCUGGAUAAAGGAGGAGGUGGUAGUUUUGCAUUAAUACAGAAAGUUUCAGAUAUAAUUUGCUCAGUAUGAUGUGAAACACCUCGCUGCCAGUCAAAAAAAUUGAAAACAGUGUUACUUUUUGCGGAUAUUUGUCAUAGGUUUAUAUUAUCUUUUAUAAUCUUCUUAUUAUCUUUCUAAAUUUAUGAUACAACUUAUAUAUUUCAUAUUUUCCAGAUCGCAGAAGACGGACAAACAACACAAAAUAAUAGGUUUAAUAUGACAACAUUAAAUCACAAGUUAAGUAUAUUAUAUUUGUUUGGCAUAAUUCCUGUUUGUCUAAAAAGGAGCAUUAAAAAAACAUUAUAUCCUGAUUAAGUUUAGAUAACAAAAGUAUGGAUGCAAAACUCUCAAUAAAUUUAAAAAAGUGUAUUAAAACGUUUAAAAUGAUUGCCAGUGAUAAAAAAUGAGGAUAAUCAAAUAUUUUAUAAAUGUUUUUUUUUUCAGAAACGCCACAAUUGAUUCCCAGUAGAAAUAGGAAAAUAUAAAAGACCAGUUUCAUCCAUAGGAAGAAAGAUACUACUUAUUUUACCAAUAAAAGGACUUGAGGGCAAAAUAUUUUACAUAUUAGGUACAUAUAAAGUUUUGAUGAAGAAUUUUGAUGAGAAAAAAUAUCAAAAAUGCCACAAAUUACUCUAUAACAUAAAGACAGUUUCAUCAGGAGGAGGAAUGACACAACCAAUAAAAGGAAUAAUUGAAGUCAAAAUAAUUAAACAUAUAUAAAACAGGCUUUGUAUCAGUACAAAAUGGAAUCACCACCAGACGCGCCAGGUGCUCAAAGCAGCGUUACUAAGAAGAAACACGUGAAAGCACUAAACAGACCACCAUCGUGCUCCGUGGCUUUAUCCGCAUUGCUAGGCUCCUAUUGGUCUUAGCACGAUGUUAUCUAAUAUGUAUGUUUAGCCUAUAAGAUGUUAAUCCGACCGGUUAAUAUAUUAUAUAUUCAAAAUUUUAUGUUUAUCUAUGCACUAUUGUUUGCGUCUAGCCCGGGGUGGGGUAGCAUAUUUUUUGCUUCGAUUAUUAUUUUGUAAAUUGCACCCAAAAAAUAUUCAAGUGUAUUUUCCUACGUUUUUUUAUGUAUAGAUUUUAUUUAAGUUGUAUGUUAUUCGUUUUUUUGUUAUUUUGAUUUUGUAUAAAUUUAUACCUAUAGAUUUUCUUUAAAAAUGAAAAAAUGUAUUACUGUUACCAUAAGUUGAAUAAUAUAGUCAUGUUAAUAAAAUCAUUUUAGUUUAAA